CUUUAUGACAUAUAGACCAUCAGAGCCAGGAGGGAGCCUAAAUCAGGAGGCUCACCCUGGAGACGCCCUGGCCACAAGCAGCCCCAAAACUCCAGAGCCCAAGAGGAAUCAGAUUAAAAUGGUCUCUCCUGCCACCUUGUGGACAGAAGCGAACACCAAAAGCUCUUCAGCCCUUUCCACCGGGGAGCAUCACCUGUUUCAAAAGCAAUCACAGGACUAUCGAAUGCAUAACCUACAAGAGGAUCCUCUCUGGAAGUGUCCCUACAACCAACCAAAGGAAGUCCCUUCUACAGUGUAGGAAACUGGCAUCCAGAGAUUUGCCACAAAUACAUUUUCUCCUGUGUCUUGAGCCAAACGAGCAAGAGAAGAAGUUGUCCUCAAAUUCACCUGAGUCAAAGUAUUCCUUUGAGUCAUGAUCAUCUCUGACAUAAGUAUGUCAUAAAAUGAGACUGAUGUGUUCACUCGGGGGGCAGAGAGAGUAAGGAUGGACAUCAGUUAAAGAUUAUAGAGUCAGAACCUCACCUGUGAUGUCUUACCUGAUGGCACCUUCUGGAGGCUGAGCUGGGAAGAGAUCCAAAUAGGAAUAUUGAUGAUCAGAGUAGAAAGGGGAUGAUCUUGCUCUGGGCUGACAUCCUAAUAAAUGGACCCAAAGUUCUACUGACCCUUGUCUU
rnacentral:lncRNA from 1 species